CCUACGGGUGGCAGCAGUAGGGAAUCUUUCACAAUGGGCGAAAGCCUGAUGGAGCAACGCCGCGUGCAGGAUGAAGGCCUUCGGGUUGUAAACUGCUUUUAUAAGCGAGAAAUAUGAUGGUAACUUAUGAAUAAGGAUCGGCUAACUACGUGCCAGCAGCCGCGGUCAUACGUAGGAUCCGAGCAUUAUCCGGGGUGACUGGGUGUAAAGAGUUGCGUAGGUGGAAUAAUAAGUAGCUAGUGAAAUCUGGUGGCUCAACCAUUCAGACGAUUAGCUAAACUGUUAAGCUCGAGACCGUUAGGGGUAACUGGAAUUUCUAGUGUAGGAGUGAAAUGCGUAGAUAUUAGAAGGAACACCAAUAGCGUAGGCAGGUUACUGGGACGGUUCUGACACUAAGGCACGAAAGCGUAGGGAGCAAACGGGAUUAGAUACCCCAGUAGUC
rnacentral:rRNA from 1 species